rnacentral:lncRNA from 1 species
AUCUCUAACAGCAAUGAACUAUAUACAGUAAGAACAAUUCUGACAACUAUCAGGAAAAUAUGAGCCUGGAACUCCCUAGUCUUCAAUCUCACCCGUGUAAGCAGGAAGUGCAAAGCGAGCAGCUUCUGCAUCUUUAAAGAACGGAGACAUCACCGACUAACUGCUUCCUGGCAGGGACCCAAGGCUCCUGUAUUAAUGGCGCAUCUACCUUCGGCUGCCAGGCCCAGCUUUGACAGACUUUUCUGUGAAGCAGAAAUUUUGAAGGGUUCUCUUAUCUUGUCACAGCAAAGUGGGGCAAUCAACUUCCCCAUGUCCUGCAUGUCCCCAGUUUGGACAGUGUGCUGUCAGCAGGCGAAGAAAAGGGCAGUUUACAGCCCAGUGUCCAGCUUUGCCACAUUUGAAGCAAGUGCCAGGUGGAGAGUCUUCUGUGCCCAUCAUCAUCUUUGGGGGAGAUUAGGGGUGCUGCCAGGAACUGAUGUGUCUCUCUGUAUGAAAGGCCUUUUGUUAUUAAAACAUCUUAAAUGCCAU